GACGAACGCUGGCGGCGUGGAUUAGGCAUGCAAGUCGGACGGUAGGGCUUUAUCGUAAGAUAGAGUUUGAGAGUGGCGAACGGGUGAGUAACACGUGAGCAACCUGCCUCCGGAUCCGGAAUAAUCCAGGGAAACUUGGUCUAAAACCGGAUGAAGACAUUGGUCCGCAUGGUCUGAUGUUAAAAUAUUUAUAGUCCGGAGAGGGGCUCGCGGCCCAUUAGCUUGUUGGCGGGGUAACGGCCCACCAAGGCAACGAUCAGUAGGGGUUCUGAGAGGAAGGUCCCCCACAUUGGAACUGAGACACGGUCCAAACUCCUACGGGAGGCAGCAGUGAGGAAUAUUGGUCAAUGGGCGAAAGCCUGAACCAGCCAAGUAGCGUGCAGGAUGACGGCCCUAUGGGUUGUAAACUGCUUUUAUACAGGGAUAAAGUUAGUCACGUGUGGCUAUUUGCAGGUACUGUAUGAAUAAGGACCGGCUAAUUCCGUGCCAGCAGCCGCGGUAAACUACUCGUA
rnacentral:rRNA from 1 species